rnacentral:rRNA from 1 species
CCUACGGGUGGCAGCAGUGAGGAAUAUUGGUCAAUGGGCGCGAGCCUGAACCAGCCACGUAGCGUGAAGGAUGACUGCCCUACGGAUUGUAAACUUCUUUUAUGAAGGAACAAAUUGAGGCACGUGUGCCUUUUUGUGUGUACUUUACGAAUAAGGAUCGGCUAACUCCGUGCCAGCAGCCGCGGUAAUACGGAGGAUCCGAGAGUUAUCCGGAUUUAUUGGGUUUAAGGGGAGCGUAGAGGGGUUGGUAAGUCAGUUGUGAAAGUCCGGGGCUCAACCGGAGAACUGCAAUUGAUACUGGCAGUCUGGAGUACAGGAGAGGUAGGCGGAAUUCGCGGUGUAGCGGUGAAAUGCGUAGAUAUCGCGAAGAACACCGAUUGCGAAGGCAGCUUACUGAACUGCAACUGACGUUGAGGCACGAAAGCGUGGGUAGCAAACAGGAUUAGAUACCCUAGUAGUC